rnacentral:rRNA from 1 species
UUUAUCAUUAUUAUUAUAAAUAAAAUCUGCUCAAUGAAUAAUUUUAAAUAGCCGCAAAAUUUUGUGCUAAGGUAGCAUAAUCACUUGUUUUUUAAUUAAAAACUAGAAUGAAAGAUUUAACAUUUUAAUCAUUUUAUUAUUAAUAAUAAUUUAAUUUAUACUAAAUAUAAAAAUAUAUUUAUAUUAAAAAUAGACGAUAAGACCCUAUUGAAUUUAACUUAUUUGUUUAGCUGGGGAAGCUUUUUAAUUAUAAUUUUAAUUAAAUAUAUACAAAAAAUUAUCCAAUAUAAUUGAAUUAAUCAAAUUACCAUAGGGAUAACAGCGUAAUAUUAUUCUAAAGUUCUUAUUUAAAAUUAUGUUUACGACCUCGAUGUUGAAUUAUUAUUCUUUAUUAUUUAAUGCAAUAAUUAUAAAAGUAGGUCUGUUCGACCUUUAAUAUUUUACA